rnacentral:ncRNA from 1 species
UCUCUUCAGGGCAGGGUGCAAUUCCCUACUGGCGGUAUAGUCCGCGACUCCCCGAUGCGGGGACUGAACCGGUGCGACUCCGGUACCAACGGUAAAGUCCGGAUGGAAGGCGA